rnacentral:rRNA from 1 species
GACGAACCGUGCGAACGUUGUUCGGAAUCACUGGGCUUAAAGGGCGCGUAGGCGGCUGCGUAAGUCUCGGGUGAAAUCUUUCGGCUCAACCGGAAACGUGCCUGGGAUACUGCGCAGCUAGAGGGAGGUGAGGGGCGGACGGAACUUCCGGUGGAGCGGUGAAAUGCGUUGAUAUCGGAAGGAACGCCGGUGGCGAAAGCGGUCCGCUGGACCUCUACUGACGCUGAGGCGCGAAAGCCAGGGGAGCAAACGGG